rnacentral:misc_RNA from 1 species
GAUGAAGAACGUAGCGAAAUGCGAUACUUGGUGUGAAUUGCAGAAUUCAGUGAAUCAUCGAAUCUUUGAACGCACCUUGCGCCCUUUGGCUAUUCUGAAGGGCAUGCCUGUUUGAGUAUCGUGAACACCUCAACUCUCAUGGUCUGCCAUGAUGAGCUUGGACUUUGGGGGUCUUGCUGGCCUACUGUCAGCUCCUCUCAAAUGAAUCAGCUUACCAGUGUUUGGUGGCACCACAGGUGUGAUAACUAUCUACGCUUGUGGUUUUCUGCCAGGUAACCUCCAGUGAUGGAGGUUCGCUGGAGCUCACAAAUGUCUCUCCUCAGCGAGGACAGCUUUUUGAACGUUUGAUCUCAAAUCAGGUAGGACUACCCGCUGAACUUAAGCAUAUCAAUAAGCGGAGGA